UACGGAGGGUGCAAACGUUGCUCGGAAUCAUUGGGCGUAAAGCGCACGUAGGCGGCCGUGUAAGUCUGGCGUGAAAGCCCCGGGCUCAGCCCGGGAAGUGCGCUCGAAACUGCACGGCUCGAGUGCCGGAGGGGAGAGUGGAAUUCCUGGUGUAGCGGUGAAAUGCGUAGAUAUCAGGAGGAAUACCGGUGGCGAAAGCGACUCUCUGGACGGUAACUGACGCUGAGGCACGAAAGCGUGGGGAGCAAACAGG
rnacentral:rRNA from 1 species